UGGCGGACGGGUGAGUAAUGUCUGGGAAACUGCCCGAUGGAGGGGGAUAACUACUGGAAACGGUAGCUAAUACCGCAUAACGUCGCAAGACCAAAGAGGGGACCUUCGGGCCUCUUGCCAUCGGAUGUGCCCAGAUGGGAUUAGCUAGUAGGUGGGGUAACGGCUCACCUAGGCGACGAUCCCUAACUGGUCUGAGAGGAUGACCAGCCACACUGGAACUGAGACACGGUCCAG
rnacentral:rRNA from 1 species